rnacentral:rRNA from 1 species
UACGUAGGGUGCGAGCGUUAAUCGGAAUUACUGGGCGUAAAGCGUGCGUAGGCGGUUCGUUAAGUUCGUUGUGAAAGCCCCGGGCUCAACCUGGGAAUGGCAAUGGAAACUGGCGGGCUGGAGUAUGGCAGAGGGGGGUGGAAUUCCGCGUGUAGCAGUGAAAUGCGUAGAGAUGCGGAGGAACACCGAUGGCGAAGGCAGCCCCCUGGGCCAAUACUGACGCUCAUGCACGAAAGCGUGGGGAGCAAACAGG